rnacentral:tRNA from 1 species
CUAUUAAAGAAUUAAACAAAAUAGAAGCUGCUAACUUACUAUUAUAGCAAUAAUGUUAUUAAUUCU